GCAGGGGUAGCCAAGCUAGGUCAACGGCGACAGACUCAAGAUCUGUUCCUGUAGAGGUUCGAGAGUUCAAAUCUCUUCCCCUGCA
rnacentral:tRNA from 1 species